rnacentral:rRNA from 1 species
CUUGGUCAUUUAGAGGAAGUAAAAGUCGUAACAAGGUCUCCGUAGGUGAACCUGCGGAGGGAUCAUUACAGAGUUCAUGCCCUCGCGGGUAGAUCUCCCACCCUGUGUUAUCGUCACCUUUGUUGCUUUGGCGGGCCGCCCAGGCCCCUCGGCCAGGCUACCGGCUCCGGCUGGUAAGCGCCCGCCAGAGGACCCCAAACACCUGAAUAUCAGUGUCGUCUGAGUACUAUGUAAUAGUUAAAACUUUCAACAACGGAUCUCUUGGUUCUGGCAUCGAUGAAGAACGCAGCGAAAUGCGAUAAGUAAUGUGAAUUGCAGAAUUCAGUGAAUCAUCGAAUCUUUGAACGCACAUUGCGCCCCUUGGUAUUCCGAGGGGCAUGCCUGUUCGAGCGUCAUUACAACCCUCAAGCGCAGCUUGGUGUUGGGCUCCGCCGCUCGCGGCGGGCCUUAAAGUCAGUGGCGGUGCCGUCGGGCCCUGAGCGUAGUAAAUCUCCUCGCUACAGGGUCCCGGUGGACGCUGGCCAUCAACCCCCCACUCUCUCAGUUUGACCUCGGAUCAGGUAGGGAUACCCGCUGAACUUAAGCAUAUCAAUAAGCGGAGGAAAAGAAACCAACAGGGAUUGCCUCAGUAACGGCGAGUGAAGCGGCAACAGCUCAAAUUUGAAAUCUGGCUCUUUCAGGGUCCGAGUUGUAAUUUGUAGAAGAUGCUUCAGGUGUGGCUCCGGUCUAAGUUCCUUGGAACAGGACGUCACAGAGGGUGAGAAUCCCGUAUGUGACCGGCUGCCUUCGCCUAUGUGAAGCUCUUUCAACGAGUCGAGUUGUUUGGGAAUGCAGCUCAAAAUGGGUGGUAAAUUUCAUCUAAAGCUAAAUAUUGGCCAGAGACCGAUAGCGCACAAGUAGAGUGAUCGAAAGAUGAAAAGCACUUUGGAAAGAGAGUUAAACAGUACGUGAAAUUGUUGAAAGGGAAGCGCUUGCAACCAGACUUGCACGCGGGUAAUCAUCUGGUGUUCUCACCGGUGCACUUGCCCGCGUUCAGGCCAGCAUCGGUUUAGGUGGUGGGAUAAAGGCCUUGGGAAUGUAGCUCCUCUCGGGGAAUGUUAUAGCCCUCGGUGCAAUGCCGCCUACCUGGACCGAGGACCGCGCUUCGGCUAGGAUGCUGGCGUAAUGGUUGUAAGCGACCCGUCUUGAAACACGGACC